rnacentral:rRNA from 1 species
AUUGAACGCUGGCGGCAGGCUUAACACAUGCAAGUCGAGCGAGCGGCGGACGGGUGAGUAAUGCAUGGGAAACUGCCUGAUGGAGGGGGAUAACUACUGGAAACGGUAGCUAAUACCGCAUACCAUCAGAUGUGCCCAAGUGGGAUUAGCUAGUUGGUGGGGUAAAGGCUCACCAAGGCGACGAUCCCUAGCUGGUCUGAGAGGAUGACCAGCCACACUGGAACUGCGACACGGCCCAGACUCCUACGGGAGGCAGCAGUGGGGAAUAUUGCACAAUGGGCGCAAGCCUGAUGCAGCCAUGCCGCGUGUGUGAAGAAGGCCUUCGGGUUGUAAAGCACUUUCGGUGAGGAGGCGUUACUCGCAGAAGAAGCACCGGCUAACUCCGUGCCAGCAGCCGCGGUAAUAC